rnacentral:lncRNA from 1 species
CGCGGCGGGUCCAGUCCUCUUCCUUGCCGUCGUCGCAGUACCCUAGGCAGUCGUCCUAGAUGAAGUCCCUGAACUCCUCGUGACGCUUGGCGAUGAUAGCGUCGUACUAGUCCUCGUCGACCGUGUCGUAGAUCGGCUUCUCCAUCUUGAUCUGGAACCGGUCGUCGGCGUUUUCGGCCGGUACAGGUUGCCAGUACGUCGCCGCCUCCGCCCCACCAGAGCCUCGAGUUCAUCGUCAAGUCG